rnacentral:lncRNA from 1 species
UUUUUCAGUAUUUAAAUGUGUUAGAUGCCAACUUAAAUGCCCCAAAUUAACUGUAACACCUCUUACCCGUGUUUAUUGCCGAAACAGGGUAAAAAAUAUUAUCAAACAUAAAAUACAUAUUUUCAUACAAUCAGAGUUUUUUUUUAUAUAAAAUUUUUGACAUAAUCCCUUUUACAAAUGUCUAAUCCCUCCUCCAAAU